CUCCUAAUGCAACUUAUAACUUGGAUGGAACUGUUACUCCCAGGAAAUUCUGAGAAUCUCAUGACUCAGAACUGGAAUGAAGACACAACAAUGGAGGGGAUAUCCCCACAUACUCACCUGUUUUAUUCAUCUGCUCAGGCUGCCAUAACAAAUUACCGCAGACGGGGUGGCUUAAAUGAAGAAAUUAAUUUUUCCAAAGUUGCAGAGUUUGGAAGCCCAAGGUCAAAGUGCCAGCAGGGUUGGUUGCCAGUGAGACCUCCUUCCUCAGCCUGCAGAGGGGACCUACUUGCUACUCCUUACAUGGCCAUUCCUCUAUGUGUGCACAGGUCCAGCAAUCUUUUAAAGAAAUAAGAGUUAUUCCCUAGGACUAGAGAGGGAACAUCAAAGACUCCCUUUGGAAUCAAUUAAUGCCUGCAAAUAAUAUUUAUCUAAAAUCUCAUUCAAGGAUGUAUGAUUGGUAAAUAGUUAAAUUCAAUGAGGACUAAUAACACAACUCUGUGAACAGAGUGUUUGUGUUUGUUUGGUUUUUAACAUUAUUACAAUAUCACUAAGCAUUUGGCAAAUAAAUUAAAAUGGUAUUAUUAA